rnacentral:tRNA from 1 species
ACGAGUGUAACUCAGUUGGUUAGAGCGCUACCUUGACAUGAUAGGGGUGGUGGUUCGAAUCCACUCAGUCGUA